CAAAGGUGGGGACCUUCGGGCCCAUCGCUUGUAGAUAAGCCUGCAUCUGAUUAGUUAGUUGGUAGGGUAACGGCCUACCAAGACCGCGAUCAGUAGCUGUUCUAAGAGGAAGAUCAGCCACAUUGGGACUGAGAUACGGCCCAGACUCCUACGGGAGGCAGCAGUGAGGAAUUUUGCGCAAUGGGAGAUAUCCUGACGCAGCAACGCCGCGUGACCGAUUGAAGCUUUUAGGAGUGUAAAGGUCUGUCGUGAGGGAAGAAAAAGACCGAGAAUAAUAAGUUCGGUAAUUGACGGUACCUCACAAGCAAGCUCCGGCUAACUUCGUGCCAGCAGCCGCGGUAAUACGAGGGGAGCAAGCGUUGUCCGAAAUAACUGGGCGUAAAGGGUACGUAGGCUUUUUUGUAUGUUUCCGGUGAAAUUCACAGGCUCAACUUGUGACUUGCCGGAAAAACUGCAGAGAUUGAAUCCGGAAGGGGAAAGCGGAAUUCCUGGUGUAGCGGUGAAAUGCGUAGAUAUCAGGAGGAACACCAGUGGCGAAGGCGGCUUUCUGGUCCGGAAUUGACGCUGAGGUACUAAAGCGUGGGUAGCAAACAGGAUUAGAUACCCUGGUAGUCCACGCCCUAAACGAUGGAUACUUGAUGUCGGGAUGUUCGGUCGUCUCGGUGUCGUAGCUAACGUGUUAAGUAUCCCGCCUGGGGACUACGGUCGCAAGACUGAAACUCAAAGGAAUUGACGGGGGCCCGCACCAGCGGUGGAACAUGUGGUUUAAUUCGAUGCAACGCGAAGAACCUUACCUGGGCUUGACAUAUAUAUGAAGUAUGUAAGAAAUUAUGUAUUCUGUCUGCAUUUGCAGGUAGCAUAUAUACAGGUGAUGCAUGGCUGUCGUCAGCUCGUGUCGUGAGAUGUAGGGUUAAGUCCCUUAACGAGCGCAACCCUUGCUUUUAGUUGCCAUCAGGUAAUGCUGGGGACUCUAGAAGGACUGCCGAGGUUAACUCGGAGGAAGGUGGGGAUGACGUCAAGUCAGUAUGUCCCUUAUGUCCAGGGCUACACACGUGUUACAAUGGACGGUACAGAGUGCAGCUACGCCGUGAGGCUACGCAAAUCACUUAAAGCCGUUCCCAGUUCGGAUUGGAGUCUGCAAUUCGACUCCAUGAAGUUGGAAUCG
rnacentral:rRNA from 1 species